GCCUGGGUGGCUCAGUCAGUUUAAGCCUCUGACUUCGGCUCAGGUCAAGAUCUCGCGGGUUCGUGAGUUCGAGCCCUGCCUCGGGCU
rnacentral:tRNA from 1 species